rnacentral:rRNA from 1 species
UGGGGAAUAUUGCACAAUGGGCGCAAGCCUGAUGCAGCAACGCCGCGUGAACGAUGAAGGUCUUCGGAUCGUAAAGUUCUGUUGCAGGGGAAGAUAAUGACGGUACCCUGUGAGGAAGCCCCGGCUAAUUACGUGCCAGCAGCCGCGGUAAUACGUAGGGGGCUAGCGUUAUCCGGAUUUACUGGGCGUAAAGGGUGCGUAGGUGGUCUUUCAAGUCGGUGGUUAAAGGCUACGGCUCAACCGUAGUUAGCCUCCGAAACUGGAAGACUUGAGUGCAGGAGAGGAAAGUGGAAUUCCCAGUGUAGCGGUGAAAUGCGUAGAUAUUGGGAGGAACACCAGUAGCGAAGGCGGCUUUCUGGACUGCAACUGACACUGAGGCACGAAAGCGUGGGUAGCAAACAGG